UCCCAGCGGUCCAAGUCGCAGCCACAUUUGUUGGGUCUAAAAUAUCCGUAGCUUGCUAUUCAAGUCUUGUGUGAAAUCGGGCCUCUUAAGGGUCCGGCGGGCACAGGAUACUGUUUAGCUAGAGACCGGGAGACGUAAGAAGUACAGAUAGGGUAGCGGUAAAAUGUGUUGAUCCUAUCUGGACUAACAAUAGCGAAGGCAUCUUACGAGAACGGUUCUGACAGUGAGGGAUGAAGGCUAGGGGCGCAAAGUG
rnacentral:rRNA from 1 species